UUUCUUUAGUUCAUGCAACUUUUGCAUAGGAUUAGAAUUUAAAUAGAGGGAUUAUAAAGUCGAAUACAUGUAAUAGACUUCAUUAGAAUGGGAACAUCCUCUAGAUUCUCUGUUUAGAAUGUGGCAGAUUAAACAUUUCUCAAAUCUAACCCUAAGAAAAAUUACCAAAUUAAAUGUAUAUGUUAAGGUCAACAAAUGCACUUUCAAUGGGAGGGGUUAUUUAUUGAGAAUGAUAAAUAACUGAGAAUGAAAUUGCUUCAGUGUUAAUUG